rnacentral:rRNA from 1 species
AUUGUACGCUGGCGGCAUGCCUUACACAUGCAAGUCGAACGGCAGCGGGGACUUCGGUCCGCCGGCGAGUGGCGAACGAGUGAGUAACGUAUCGGAACGUACCUUUCAGUGGGGGAUAACGUAGCGAAAGUUACGCUAAUACCGCAUAUUCUGUGAGCAGGAAAGCAGGGGAUCGCAAGACCUUGCGCUGAUUGAGCGGCCGAUAUAAGAUUAGCUAGUUGGUGGGGUAAAGGCUCACCAAGGCGACGAUCUGUAGCGGGUCUGAGAGGAUGAUCCGCCACACUGGAACGGAGACACGGUCCAGACUCCUACGGGAGGCAGCAGUGGGGAAUUUUGGACAAUGGGGGCAACCCUGAUCCAGCCAUGCCGCGUGAGUGAAGAAGGCCUUCGGGUUGUAAAGCUCUUUCGGCCGGGAAGAAAUCGUAUGGGUUAAUACCCUGUGCGGAUGACGGUACCGGCAUAAGAAGCACCGGCUAACUACGUGCCAGCAGCCGCCGUAAAAC